AGCGAACGCUGGCGGCAGGCCUAAAACAUGCAAGUCGAACGCCCUAGCAAUAGGGAGUGGCAGACGGGUGAGUAACACGUGGGAACGUGCCUUUUGGUUCGGAACAACACAGGGAAACUUGUGCUAAUACCGGAUAAGCCCUUACGGGGAAAGAUUUAUCGCCAAAAGAUCGGCCCGCGUCUGAUUAGCUAGUUGGUGGGGUAACGGCCCACCAAGGCUACGAUCAGUAGCUGGUCUGAGAGGAUGAUCAGCCACACUGGGACUGAGACACGGCCCAGACUCCUACGGGAGGCAGCAGUUAGGAAUCUUGGACAAUGGGCGCAAGCCUGAUCCAGCCAUGCCGCGUGAGUGAUGAAGGCCUUAGGGUUGUAAAGCUCUUUCAGCGGGGAAGAUAAUGACGGUACCCGCAGAAGAAGCCCCGGCUAACUUCGUGCCAGCCGCCGCCGUAAUAC
rnacentral:rRNA from 1 species